AAUCAUAACGAACGAAUAUACACCGUUAAAAACCAAACUUUUAUUUUGAAAAAAAGUUAAUUAUUACAGCGAAAACAUUUUUAAUUCAUUAACAAUUUCCACACCCCCUUGCCCCCAACAGGAGAUUUCCCGCGUCCAGGCCGCGUGGAGCGCCCUCGGACGCUUAAGCCGCGAGCUGAGCGAGCUGAGCGCGCGCAGGGGAGGGGGAGGGGCGGAGCGGGAGAAGAUUUUGGCGGGAACGGCGACCGGAAGAGGAGGGGCGCGCGCCGGGAGCUCCCUGGGACGCUCCCUGCGCGUGCUCGCCACGGACAUGGCGGACCUGAGGGAGCGCCUGCGCGUGCAGCUGUCGUCUCUGGGGGCGGAGCCACAGCCUGGAGCCUCCUCCCCCCCAGGCCCCGCCCACACGCUCACCCAAUCAUCACGCGACCUGCACGGCUUCCUCGUGCUGAGCGAGCUGGGGGUGUGGCUCCAGCGGCUGGGUCGCGACCUCGUGAGACUCCGACUCCUGGCGGCCUAGCCCACACCCACCACCCCCACCAACCUUGUCCACCGUGCCACUAGCCACGCCCAUUACACUACUUGCCACGCCUACCACCCCCACUGGCCACGCCCACCACUAGACACGUCCAUUACACUACUUGCCACGCCUACCACCCCCACUAGCCACGCCAACCACUAGCCACGCCCAUUACACUACUUGCCACGCCUACCACCCCCCACUAGCCAUGCCCACCACUAGCCACGUCCAUUACCCCACUAUAGCCACUCCUACCACCCCCACUAGCCACGCCCACCACUAGUCACGCCCACCACAAGCCACGCCCAUUAACACUACUUGCCACGCCUACCACCCCCACUAGCCACGCCCACCACUAGCCACGUCCAUUACCCCACUAGCCACUUCCUAACCACCCUGCUAGCCACGCCCACCACUAGCCACGCCCAUUACACUACUUGCCACGCCUACCACACCACUAGCCACGCCCACCCAUCACUAGCCACGUAUAUAUACGUACACAUACGUGUGUGUACGUAUGUAUACGUGGGUAUGCAUGGCACCUGGGUCUGCCCCGUGACCUCCUGCCAGCGGGCGUUCGACACUUUACGUGGCCUCAAGGUGCACAUGGCCUGGCACAAGCGUCGUGGUGACGUCACCGCCACUUAGUGGCGAAUGGCGGUUGUUGUUGUUGUAUACCCACGUGCGUAUGUAAAUCCUGCCGACCUGAGUUCGAUUCCCGCUCACGGCCGACACCACUGUGACGAUUAUCUGAAAUGGUUCUGGGCCUCACCUAGGUCGACUCAGCCUCAAAUGAGUUCCUGGUGCGGUGUGUAGUGAUGGUGCUGCUGCUGCUACUCACUGCUAACGGCACUUGCCCCCCAAACAGUCUGUUAAGGCUUUCAGGGGGGAUCUUUCUAUUUAUAUACGUAUACGCGCGCGUGAACACACGCACACACACGCGCGUGCUUUAUUUAUUACUAAUUGUUGUUACGACUGACCGAUUAAUAUACGCGUAUUUAUGGCUUUUAUAUAUUUGUAUUUAUUUGUAAUAAACGACUUCCACGGCGAA